UACGAAGGGUGCAAGCGUUACUCGGAAUUACUGGGCGUAAAGCGUGCGUAGGCGGUUUGUUAAGUCCGUUGUGAAAGCCCUGGGCUCAACCUGGGAAUUGCAGUGGAUACUGGCAAGCUAGAGUGCGGUAGAGGAUGGUGGAAUUCCCGGUGUAGCGGUGAAAUGCGUAGAGAUCGGGAGGAACACCCGUGGCGAAGGCGGCCAUCUGGACCAGCACUGACGCUGAGGCACGAAAGCUAGGGGAGCAAACGGG
rnacentral:rRNA from 1 species